rnacentral:rRNA from 1 species
GAUGAACGCUGUCUACAGGCUUAACACAUGCAAGUCGAGGGGAAACGACGGGGAAGCUUGCUUCCCCGGGCGUCGACCGGCGCACGGGUGAGUAACGCGUAUCCAACCUGCCUCUGACUGAGGGAUAACCCGUCGAAAGUCGGCCUAAUACCUCAUGGCAUCGUCUGCGGGCAUCCAACGACGAUUAAAGAUUUCAUCGGUCAGGGAUGGGGAUGCGUCUGAUUAGCUUGUUGGCGGGGUAACGGCCCACCAAGGCUAAGAUCAGUAGGGGUUCUGAGAGGAAGGUCCCCCACAUUGGAACUGAGACACGGUCCAAACUCCUACGGGAGGCAGCAGUGAGGAAUAUUAGUCAAUGGGCGGGAGCCUGAACCAGCCAAGUAGCGUGCAGGAUGACGGCCCUAUGGGUUGUAAACUGCUUUUAUGCGGGGAUAAAGUGAGGGACGUGUCCUUCAUUGCAGGUACCGCAUGAAUAAGGACCGGCUAAUUCCGUG